GGAUUUUAAAAAUUAUUAUUCGCUAGAAAAAAGACCACGAACUUUGGAGUGGACAUCCUGAGACCUGCCUACGAAGACCAUUAGGGUAAAGAAGUCACCCCUUCACCCCAGGACCAGGAAGCCUCCAGGAUGGCAUAAGCGACCAAACAGCUGCGAGCCAAGCACAGUGCAGGGGGCUUGGGGGCGGCGGCCGGAGGCUGGGGUGGUGGCCUCCAGAAGACACUCCUCUGAUUCCUACACCGAGGGAACACACAGCAGCAAGCUAGGAAAGAAGGGGUGACCCAGCCCAACGCUCUAAACCAGGGCGCGAACCGGCGUUGAGCUGUGCAGCUGCGCCCUGGGCUCCAGUCCUGCUCUGCCGCAGACCCCACCGGAGCCAGCACCUGCCUCCCCGACCCUCGCUGGGGAGGCUGUGAGAUGAGCCCAGAGCCUUCCUGAGCCAACCCUCGCAAGGAAAGUCCGUCUGUUCACCCCACUAUCCUUGUCUUGAAGGAUGAAGAAAAGAGAGCCCCCCGGGAGGUCCCAAAAGGUGGAAUGGACAUCUGGGAUCCAAGCACAGCAAUUUCUUUCUUUUUCUUAC
rnacentral:antisense_RNA from 1 species